rnacentral:hammerhead_ribozyme from 1 species
GUGCAUCUGACGAGUCCCAAACGGAACGAAACGCGCGUACUGGAU